UACGGAGGGAGCUAGCGUUGUUCGGAAUUACUGGGCGUAAAGCGCGCGUAGGCGGCUUUGUAAGUCAGAGGUGAAAUCCCGGGGCUCAACUCCGGAACUGCCUUUGAGACUGCAUCGCUUGAAUCCGGGAGAGGUGAGUGGAAUUCCGAGUGUAGAGGUGAAAUUCGUAGAUAUUCGGAAGAACACCAGUGGCGAAGGCGGCCUCACUGGACCGGUAUUGACGCUGAUGUGCGAAAGCGUGGGGAGGCAAACAGG
rnacentral:rRNA from 1 species